GACGAACGCUGGCGGCGUGCCUAAUACAUGCAAGUUGAGCGAUGAAGAUUGGUGCUUGCACCAAUUUGAAGAGCAGCGGACGGGUGAUUAACGCGUGGGGAAUCUGCCUUUGAGCGGGGGACAACAUUUGGAAACGAAUGCUAAUACCGCAUAACAACUUUAAACAUAAUUUUUAAGUUUGAAAGAUGCAAUUUCAUCACUCAAAGAUGAUCCCGCGCUGUAUUAGCUAGGUGGUGAGGUAAAGUGGCACCAAGGCGAGGAUACGUAGCCGACCAGAGAGGGGAAUCGCCAACAUUGGGAUGGGGAGACGGCCCAACACACUGGGAGAGGCAGCAGUAGGGAAUCUUCGGCAAAGGACGAAAGUGUGACCAAGCGACGCCGCGUGAGAGAAGAAGGCUUUCGGAUCGUAAAACUCAGUUAGUAGAGAAGAACGUUGGUGAGAGUGGAAAGCGAAUAAAGUGACGGUAACUACACAGAAAGCGACGGCUAACUACGUG
rnacentral:rRNA from 1 species